AGAGAGAGACAUGCGCGCAUAUCAAUAAGCGGAGGAAAAGAAACUAACAAGGAUUCCCCUAGUAACGGCGAGUGAAGCGGGAAGAGCUCAAAUUUGAAAUCUUAAAGGGUUUCCCUUUACGAAUUGUAGUUUAAAGAAGUGUUUUCUGUUGAGGUUUUGGUAAAAGUUCUUUGGAAUAGGACAUCAUAGAGGGUGAGAAUCCCGUAUUUGACCUUUACUUUCAACUUUGUGAUACACUUUCAAAGAGUCGGAUUGUUUGGGAAUGCAGUCCAAAAUGGGUGGUAAAUUUCAUCUAAAGCUAAAUAUUGGCGAGAGACCGAUAGCGAGCAAGUACCGUGAGGGAAAGAUGAAAAGAACUUUGAAAAGAGAGUUAAACAGUACGUGAAAUUGUCAAAAGGGAAGCGUUUGACACCAGUGUUGUUUUUCUGAAAAUCAAUUAAAGAACUGUUUAUGCUAAGUUGUUUAGACUUUAUCAGCUAACUGUUUAGUUUUGAGCUUUUCUUUAAUGCACUUUUCAGUUAACAAGUCAACAUCAAUUUCUUUUGCUGUAAAAAAGCUUGAGGAAGGUGGCUUGAGAUUCGUCUUAAGUGUUUAUAGCCUCUUGCCUAUGCAGUCGGAGAGAUUGAGGUCUGCAGCGUAGAUCCUUCGGGGCUAAAUGCAUUUGUGCUAAGUUAUAGCAUUUUAUAGACAACUUGUUGACUAUGAUUUGUCUUGUAGCUUACUCGCUUAUGUUAUUUUACCUACGCUUAGGAUGUUGAGCGCAUGUCUCUCUCUC
rnacentral:rRNA from 1 species